rnacentral:rRNA from 1 species
AACGAACGCUGGCGGCGCGCCUAAUACAUGCAAGUCGAGCGAGAAGACGUAGCAAUACGUUUGUAAAGCGGCGAACGGGUGAGGAAUACAUGGGUAACCUACCCUCGAGUGGGGAACAACUCAGGGAAACUUGAGCUAAUACCGUAUACGUCCGUAAGGAGAAAGAUUCAUCGCCCCUAGACGGGCCCGCGUCGGAUUAGGUAGUUGGUGGGGUAACGGCCUACCAAGCCUACGAUCCGUAGCUGAUCUGAGAGGAUGAUCAGCCACACUGGGACUGAGACACGGCCCAGACUCCUACGGGAGGCAGCAGUGGGGAAUCUUGGACAAUGGGCGCAAGCCUGAUCCAGCCAUGCCGCGUGAGUGAAGAAGGCCUUAGGGUUGUAAAGCUCUUUUACCAGGGACGAUAAUGACGGUACCUGGAGAAUAAGCCCCGGCAAACUUCGUGCCAGCAGCCGCCGUAAU